UUAAGUUAUUAAGGGCGCACGGUGGAUGCCUUGGCACUAGAAGCCGAUGAAGGACGUUACUAACGACGAUAUGCUUUGGGGAGCUGUAAGUAAGCUUUGAUCCAGAGAUUUCCGAAUGGGGAAACCCAGCAUGAGUUAUGUCAUGUUAUCGAUAUGUGAAUACAUAGCAUAUCAGAAGGCACACCCGGAGAACUGAAACAUCUUAGUACCCGGAGGAAGAGAAAGAAAAUUCGAUUCCCUUAGUAGCGGCGAGCGAAACGGGAAGAGCCCAAACCAACAAGCUUGCUUGUUGGGGUUGUAGGACACUCUAUACGGAGUUACAAAGGACGACAUUAGACGAAUCAUCUGGAAAGAUGAAUCAAAGAAGGUAAUAAUCCUGUAGUCGAAAAUGUUGUCUCUCUUGAGUGGAUCCUGAGUACGACGGAGCACGUGAAAUUCCGUCGGAAUCUGGGAGGACCAUCUCCUAAGGCUAAAUACUCUCUAGUGACCGAUAGUGAACCAGUACCGUGAGGGAAAGGUGAAAAGCACCCCGGAAGGGGAGUGAAAUAGAACCUGAAACCGUGUGCUUACAAGUAGUCAGAGCCCGUUAAUGGGUGAUGGCGUGCCUUUUGUAGAAUGAACCGGCGAGUUACGAUUUGAUGCAAGGUUAAGCAGUAAAUGUGGAGCCGUAGCGAAAGCGAGUCUGAAUAGGGCGUUUAGUAUUUGGUCGUAGACCCGAAACCAGGUGAUCUACCCUUGGUCAGGUUGAAGUUCAGGUAACACUGAAUGGAGGACCGAACCGACUUACGUUGAAAAGUGAGCGGAUGAACUGAGGGUAGCGGAGAAAUUCCAAUCGAACCUGGAGAUAGCUGGUUCUCUCCGAAAUAGCUUUAGGGCUAGCCUCAAGUGAUGAUUAUUGGAGGUAGAGCACUGUUUGGACGAGGGGCCCCUCUCGGGUUACCGAAUUCAGACAAACUCCGAAUGCCAAUUAAUUUAACUUGGGAGUCAGAACAUGGGUGAUAAGGUCCGUGUUCGAAAGGGAAACAGCCCAGACCACCAGCUAAGGUCCCAAAAUAUAUGUUAAGUGGAAAAGGAUGUGGCGUUGCCCAGACAACUAGGAUGUUGGCUUAGAAGCAGCCAUCAUUUAAAGAGUGCGUAAUAGCUCACUAGUCGAGUGACACUGCGCCGAAAAUGUACCGGGGCUAAACAUAUUACCGAAGCUGUGGAUUGUCCUUUGGACAAUGGUAGGAGAGCGUUCUAAGGGCGUUGAAGCAUGAUCGUAAGGACAUGUGGAGCGCUUAGAAGUGAGAAUGCCGGUGUGAGUAGCGAAAGACGGGUGAGAAUCCCGUCCACCGAUUGACUAAGGUUUCCAGAGGAAGGCUCGUCCGCUCUGGGUUAGUCGGGUCCUAAGCUGAGGCCGACAGGCGUAGGCGAUGGAUAACAGGUUGAUAUUCCUGUACCACCUAUAAUCGUUUUAAUCGAUGGGGGGACGCAGUAGGAUAGGCGAAGCGUGCGAUUGGAUUGCACGUCUAAGCAGUAAGGCUGAGUAUUAGGCAAAUCCGGUACUCGUUAAGGCUGAGCUGUGAUGGGGAGAAGACAUUGUGUCUUCGAGUCGUUGAUUUCACACUGCCGAGAAAAGCCUCUAGAUAGAAAAUAGGUGCCCGUACCGCAAACCGACACAGGUAGUCAAGAUGAGAAUUCUAAGGUGAGCGAGCGAACUCUCGUUAAGGAACUCGGCAAAAUGACCCCGUAACUUCGGGAGAAGGGGUGCUCUUUAGGGUUAACGCCCAGAAGAGCCGCAGUGAAUAGGCCCAAGCGACUGUUUAUCAAAAACACAGGUCUCUGCUAAACCGUAAGGUGAUGUAUAGGGGCUGACGCCUGCCCGGUGCUGGAAGGUUAAGAGGAGUGGUUAGCUUCUGCGAAGCUACGAAUCGAAGCCCCAGUAAACGGCGGCCGUAACUAUAACGGUCCUAAGGUAGCGAAAUUCCUUGUCGGGUAAGUUCCGACCCGCACGAAAGGCGUAACGAUUUGGGCACUGUCUCAACGAGAGACUCGGUGAAAUCAUAGUACCUGUGAAGAUGCAGGUUACCCGCGACAGGACGGAAAGACCCCGUGGAGCUUUACUGUAGCCUGAUAUUGAAAUUCGGCACAGCUUGUACAGGAUAGGUAGGAGCCUUUGAAACGUGAGCGCUAGCUUACGUGGAGGCGCUGGUGGGAUACUACCCUAGCUGUGUUGGCUUUCUAACCCGCACCACUUAUCGUGGUGGGAGACAGUGUCAGGCGGGCAGUUUGACUGGGGCGGUCGCCUCCUAAAAGGUAACGGAGGCGCUCAAAGGUUCCCUCAGAAUGGUUGGAAAUCAUUCAUAGAGUGUAAAGGCAUAAGGGAGCUUGACUGCGAGACCUACAAGUCGAGCAGGGUCGAAAGACGGACUUAGUGAUCCGGUGGUUCCGCAUGGAAGGGCCAUCGCUCAACGGAUAAAAGCUACCCCGGGGAUAACAGGCUUAUCUCCCCCAAGAGUUCACAUCGACGGGGAGGUUUGGCACCUCGAUGUCGGCUCAUCGCAUCCUGGGGCUGUAGUCGGUCCCAAGGGCUGUCUCUUAUACACAUCUGACGCAGACUGUCUCUUAUACACAUCUGACGCUG
rnacentral:rRNA from 1 species